GAACUACCCAAAAACUACCCAAGACUGAGAAAAUAACCCAAAAAAUUUACCCAAAUGGUCUUAUGAAGUAUUCUAAUUUGUUGAGAUAGUGAAUUGGUGGAUUUUUAUUAAAUGUGAGCCAAAAUCGUCACAAUUAAAAGAACCAAAGACAUAAACUACUUCAGUCUGUGUACGUUGAAUUUAUUAAAUACACGAGUUUCGCAAUUUGAGUUAAAUUACUGAAAUAAAACUUUUCCAUGACAUUCUAAUUUAUUAAGAUUCACCUGUAGUAAAAGAGUACAAAUAUCUCGGCAUCAUUGUUGACGAUGUCUUAUCUUUUGGCUCUUAUAUUACAAAAUGGAUGAAAAUAAUAAAAUUAAGCUUGGGUUUUGUAAAGUUUUGUUUUUCAUUUAAUGCAAGAAAGAUUGUAAUUUCUGUAGUUUUUAUUUAGUGUGUCAGUUUGCACCCUCACUUCUUCUUUCUACUUUAGAUGCUGUUUAUCAUGGUGCUCUAAGGUUUAUAUCAGAUUGUAAACCAUCGCCAUAUCAUUGUACCUUGUAUAGCAGAGUAGGUUGGCCUUCUUUGUCUAAUAGGAGACAAAUGCAUUGGUAUUUAAUUACAGGUGCAGCUAAAAAAAUUUGAUAUAAUGAUUUUUUUUUUUUUCAUAUAUUCUAAUGAUAUAUUCUAGAUUUAAUAUAUGUAAAGUUAAACCAUUUUUUUUUAUUUAUUUGGUAUAAUUAGAGCUUACAGCUCAUGAAAGUCAAAAAUCCAGUAUCUCAAAAUUAUAGAUUAUAUCCUGAUUAUAAAGAUGUGCUGCAAGGAGGAAUCUAAAAACAAGCAGUCCUGGCAGCAUGAGGUGCAAAUGACAAAAUCUGGUGCAGUGCGCAAAUGCGCACUGACAGCAACUGCAACAGAAGCUGAAAUAUGGAGGCAUGCUAUAAGGUGGUUUGCCCUUUCGGCGGACAGGAGAGGAGGGCGCCAGGAGAGACUGGCGCGUCAGCAGCAGGAGCAGCAACAGCAACAGCUGCCACAGCACCCACCUAGUGAUUUUGUUUAAGUGCAUGUUUUUUUUUCACAUUGUGUUUCACGUUGUGUUUAUAGCCUGUGCGUUUUUUUAUCCAUUAAUUCUGUGUUUGUUGUUGAGUGUGUUUUGUGUUAAUUGUUGAAUUUUGUUCAUGACUUUGUUGUUCAUUUUUUAUAAUUAAAUCUAUGAAUUCGUGGUCAUUAAUUCUGUGUUUGUUAACUUUGUUCACGUUGUUUUAGUAUGCGUUUUAAUCAUUAAAACGAUUUAUUUCAGCUAUAGCCUAUAGGCCUACGCAUUGAUCCAACUGAAA
rnacentral:lncRNA from 1 species